AAAUUAAAUAUUGUACAUAGACGGCCGGUUUUUGACAAUUAUAAAAGGCAACUUUUUUAAUGUACAUUGAAUACUUUAUUUUAACAUUUUAUUUCAAUUCACAGAGAUAUUAAAGUGAAUUGUUUUUGUCCCCGGGAACAAAUGAUUAACUGCUCUAACCGACAACCAAGGCUCAUGUGUAUGACAAUAUGAUUUGAAAAUGUUUUAUUAAAUGAUAAGAAA
rnacentral:misc_RNA from 1 species